CCCCUCCCCCCGCCGCCUUCCCAUGGUGCACCACGACACGGGGGGGGGCGACCCCCCCCCCGACCCCCCAGGAGGGAGAGGAGAGCAGCGGGGACCCGGACCCCACGGCGGCUGCGCUGGAGCUCGAGGGGUUAAAACUGGAGGACGAGCGCCCCCUAGUGGACGAGGGCGGAGCCGAACGACGGGGCGAGGGUGGGGGUCCGGCCGUCCGGGCCCCACAGAUUUGGGGACCCCGACGUCCGCGCCCCACAAGUGCCGGAGCUGCUGGAGGAUCUGGAGGGUCAAAGGGCGGCGGUGACGUCAUCGGGGG